rnacentral:misc_RNA from 1 species
GUAGGUGAACCUGCGGAAGGAUCAUUAACACUUAAAUAAAACCCCUUUUUUUAUAACCCUUUCACGAACCCUUCUAUCUCUUGGUCUGCCUCUCUCUUUGGAGGAGGGAGAUUGAGAGAAGAUCCGCUGUUUGUGAGCUUGAACAAAACGUGUGGACUAACAUUUUCUUUUGACUCGAGCCUACAGAGAGAGGGGGUUUCGGCCUUCUUUUUCUGUUUGCUUUUUUUUAUAAAAACCAGUUAAACCAAAUUUAUAAUGGUGUGCAUGUAUUUGCCUCCAUUCUUUUAAAAAAAAAAAAAUAAAACAAAAAAAAUAAAAAAACAUAAACACAACUCUUAACAAUGGAUAUCUUGGUUCUC